rnacentral:sRNA from 1 species
GAAACUUCUGCUGUGAUGAUCUUUUGAAUAAAAUUCACAUGUCAGACUUCAGAGAUCUUUUGAUCUAUGAGAAAAAACAUUCAUAAUUCUGAGCAGAAGUAACAACACAACCUGUUUCUCCA